rnacentral:rRNA from 1 species
CAGCCGUAAACUAUGCUCGCUAGGUGUCAGGGACGGUGCGACCGUUUCUGGUGCCGCAGGGAAGCCGUGAAGCGAGCCACCUGGGAAGUACGGUCGCAAGGCUGAAACUUAAAGGAAUUGGCGGGGGAGCACUACAACGGGUGGAGCCUGCGGUUUAAUUGGACUCAACGCCGGAAAACUCACCGGGGGCGACAGCGGAAUGAUUGCCGGGCUGAAGACCCUGCAUGACCAGCUGAGAGGAGGUGCAUGGCGUAGUCGUGU